rnacentral:rRNA from 1 species
UACGUAGGGGGCAAGCGUUGUCCGGAAUCAUUGGGCGUAAAGCGCGUGUAGGCGGCCACGUUAGUCCGUUCUGAAAGCCCGGGGCUCAACCCCGGGAGGCGGAUGGAUACUGCGUGGCUCGAGUCCGGAAGAGGCGAGUGGAAUUCCUGGUGUAGCGGUGAAAUGCGCAGAUAUCAGGAGGAACACCGGUGGCGAAGGCGGUUCUCUGGGCCUUACCUGACGCUGAGGAGCGAAAGCGUGGGGAGCGAACAGG